rnacentral:lncRNA from 1 species
UUAACUCAUACUAAUUCUCAUUAGAACAGCUUUUCUUUCCCCUUGUUCGUGCCUGAGCCUUCAGGUCGAUCGUACGUAACUGAAAACAUUUAGUUUAAGCAAGGAUGAGCAUUUGAGUGCCCAACAAGUAAUAACAAUUAUAUAUAUAAGCUGAAAGAAUAUAAGUAUUCUCUUUACAUAACACUUCUACAACGAAUCAAAAGUUGUGAAGUAAUCUGUACUGAUAAAAAAUUCACAUAACAACUCUCUUCCAAAUUAUUUAAAUUUGGCUCUGGCUCUACCCAUGAAUAGGGUUUAAGAAACAUACUAUGAACAUUGUUUUUCAUUUUCGAAAAGGUUUAGCAGAAAUCCAUCCGCAAACCGCUCUAGCUUACGGGUACGGAGGGUGAUCAGCCCCGUUGUACCCUGUAUUGAUCAAUACUACAUAACUCUGAAAGAAAUUCAUCGUUUUAUUCUGUCCGCCUCGGGCGCAAAAAUCUUCCCAUAUAGGGAUGUUCAUACAUGCCUG